AGUGAACGCUGGCGGUAGGCCUAACACAUGCAAGUCGAACGGCAGCACAGUAAGAGCUUGCUCUUACGGGUGGCGAGUGGCGGACGGGUGAGGAAUACAUCGUAAUCUACUUUUUCGUGGGGGAUAACGUAGGGAAACUUACGCUAAUACCGCAUACGACCUACGGGUGAAAGCAUGGGAUCUUCGGACCUUGCGCGAUUGAAUGAGCCGAUGUUGGAUUAGCUAGUUGGCGGGGUAAAGGCCCACCGAGGCGACGAUCCGUGGCUGGUCUGAGAGGAUGAUCAGCGACACUGGAGCUGAGACGCGAUCCAGACUCCUACGGGAGGCAGCAGUGGGGAAUAUUGGACAAUGGGCGGAAGCCUGAUCCAGCCAUACCGCGUGGGUGAAGAAGGCCUUCGGGUUGUAAAGCCCUUUUGUUGGGAAAGAAAAGCAGCAGGUUAAAACCCCGCUGUUCUGACGGUACCCAAAGAGUAAACACCGGCUAACUUCGU
rnacentral:rRNA from 1 species